CGUUGCUCUGACGGAGGGAGGGGCAACUGACGAUAUGGCUUACAGGGAAUUAAAAUCAACAAAAGGGGUGGUUUUGUAUCAAGGAGAAACCCAAACAACUGUCACACAGAAUGGCCCCCUCAAGGAUUGAACUCAAAACCCUGGGUUUAGCAAGCUAUUGCUCAAACCUCUGA